AUGUGUGAUUACACGGGCCGGAAGGAUGAUCCUCUUUGGCACAGCCCCGACGACUUACCUGAGGACGUCGUUGACGACAUGACCAAGUCCCUUCUAAACGAGAGCUUAGCAGAUUGCGAGAGGACAGGCUUAAGUCCCUUCUGCAAAGCUAACUCGGCUCCGGCGGCUAAUGAUAUGUUCUGGAAGGUCAGGUAUGACCAUGAGGCUACUAAAAAAGCCAGGAAGGUUAAAAAAGCCGCCAGGAGAGCCGCUCCCCGCAAGAAGGGGAGUAAGCCUAGCGCCUCAGACCUGCUUCAGUUGGAUGACACCUCCGAGUCAGAGGAUGAUACCGGAGCGAGUAACCCGGUGAUUGAAGAGAUUCAUGAGAGCCGGAGGCAAACCCGGACCAACAAGGAAGCAGACCUCUCCUCCGGCUUACCUGAAGCAUCAAGGAAGCGCCGGACCGAGGAAACUUCACCUUCCUCCGGGGACUCCAUGCAAUCUAACUUGCCGGCUUUCAAGACCGCUCCCGGUGCACAAGCAAAGCUUUGCAAGAGGGCAAAGAAAAGUAACCCAGUCGAAGAGCCGGUCUUGACUGAACCCAACACCUCUGCCUCUGAGCUGCCGUCUGCACCAGCUCCAGAAACCACCGCUCCAACUGAAGAACAAGCCAUGGAGGGUUCUGACAACCCGGAGAUUCCCAGCCUAGCUCAACCGGCCGAUGACCCGGAUGUGGUGAUUACCCGGACCGAAUAUGUUGAGCCGGGAAGACCCACUAUGCUGGCUAGAUGCUCUGCUAAGGAAGAACUGAUGGAGCGCCGCAGGGCCAGACUGGAUAUCACUGACUAUGCUAACUUGAGCAUUGGAGAUAUUGUUGCUAGUUAUAUUGGUCAAGUGCACAACAGCCGGGACCUGGAAAUUGACAUGGUGAAGCAGAUACAGCAAAAAUCUAAGGCUGCCUGCAAGAAACUUGAAUCGGAAAUCUCUGAUCUGAAGACCCGCCUGAAGACUCAGGAAAAUGAGACCCAGAAAGCCAAUGCCAAAUUUGAGUUCAGUGUCUCUGCACAAGAAAAACUGAAGAAAAAAAUUUGA
rnacentral:rRNA from 1 species